rnacentral:misc_RNA from 1 species
GAACUCUUUUAUCCGGACUCGCCAUCUAAUGCAUCAUGGUCAAUUCUGAAGAAGAAAAAUGGUCGAUAUAAUGACGUCAAUAUUCCAGUUGACUCCACUCUCAUGGACAGUAUGUUCACGAGCAUCAGCGGCCUUUACGCCAUGGCGAUCGUGGUCCUGGGCUGCGUUAUUCCAGUAUCACAGAUCUUCUCCAGCGAAGCUUUCAACUUCUCCUUCCUCUUUGAUGGAUUUUACAUCUACAUUUACACAGUCAGUAUUAUUUUCUUAAUAUAUGCGUAUGUCUACCUCCUCCGAAACAAAUCCCUCAAACUUCGACGCAACCUUCGCAGGAAUCAGUACAGCUCACCAUCUUCCGGUUCUCGAGGCAACUUAAAACGGAAGUACUCCUUUGAUGAUUCCCGGACCUAUCAUACCGGAAGCUUUUAUCUGAGAUUAGGUGCCGUAGGUUUUGGAAUCGGAAGCAUGAUUCAGAGUGGUCUUCAGUUUGGGGAGGUAUUUGACACGGAUACCGACCCCCUGACCCACCCCUGUAAAAGCAUCGCCCAGGGGGCAAGGCCCAUCAUCCGUCUCAUCUUUACUUUUGUGCAGCUUUAUUUUGUCUUCUUGAAUUCAAAGAUGUGCGUACACCGGUAUAAAACUAUAGCGAGAUUCGGGAUGAUGCAUAUGGUGGCUACAAACCUUUGUGUGUGGACCCAGAAUAUUGUCCAGGAGACCCUACGUGAAAUAAGACAUCUGCACCAGCCCGACAGAGGAAGCAACGAGAGCUCCGAUAAAGAGAUAAGCUUAGUUUCAUCAAGCAAUAUCACAAGAUACCGUCUCGGAUGUCACAUGAAUUCUUUGAUGUCUGACGUUGUGGAAACUUCCAGUUCCUAUCUAUACCCAUGUACCAUAGAAUACAGUCUCAUUUGUGCAGGGAUUCUGUACGUGAUGUGGAGAAAUAUUGGAAAACGUGGGCAGGUGCCCGAGGAAGUGGCAAACGAGGAGGAAAGCAAGGCCAAAUCUCAGCGGAUGACGGUGGACUGUUCCCGCUCUAGUCGUGGCCUCUUCCUGGGGAUCUUCAUUCUGGUGGGGACAGUGAUCACCAUGAUAACGUUCUUUGUUCUGAUACGUUCCGAUAGCUACCUGUCCACGGCGGUCAAACUGGAACAUUUAUCCGCCGUUGUGAUCUACGUGGUGACGUCAAUCGCCGUAGUGCUAGCGUUCCACAGAAUGCAGAUGUUACGAGUAAAUUCGGACAGAGAAAUAGACUUGGAAGAGUCGCUACUUCUCUUGGGGUUAGGGGGCUUGUAUGUGUAUGCCUUUCUCAGUAUUAUUUCUGCCACAUUAAAGGAGGGACCGUUGGAUUAUUUAGUCGUUUUAUCCAGUGUGUUCCGUGUGUUCCAAGGAUCAUUACAAACGGUCUUCCUUUUGAGUGGAAUGCGCAAAUCGUCAUGGCGACGGGAGCAAGAGAGACAGAAGCCGGGGCGGGAAUACGUCACAUUUCUUCUGGUCAGUAACAUCGCCAUGUGGGGCUUGAACACUUUUGAAAUUCAGCGAUCUCAUGCUAACCCAGUACAGCUGGAAUUCUUUGGACCCGUAGCGUGGACAAUUUUCAAUCACCUAUCAGUUCCUCUGACCAUCUUCUUCCGGUUUCACUCCACCGUGUGUUUGUCUAACAUUUGGAAGAGCGCUUGGAAGCGACGCAUGCCCGCCGUCUAAGUUCACUUAUCUUUCGAGAAUUUCUAAAUUUCCACCAUUCAUAUUUAUAUUCUUGAAAAAUAUACAUCAGUUCUUUGUACUAGACAAAGUAAAAUUUUUUAAGCUGGUGUAUUUUCACAUGUAUAUAGUUACAUACAGUUCAUUGUAUUUGAUAUCAGCAUCACAAUGGAUCAGAGAUGCAUUAUUUUUUUAAGUGUUUAAUAACUUUUCGACAGGUGCUUAGUACCGAAGUGCAAGUGCUGAAAAACUCCUCGACAAAUUAACUUUUUAUUUAAAAAAAUGAAACCGUCAUGUAUAUAUAUACAUGUAUAUCAUAUCAAUUGUGUCAUUUGAUGAAUCAAGAUUAAAAAUGUCAAU